GUUUACCCACUUCCUCCCUGAUCCCACAUGGUGGUUGUCAAGGCUGGACGCAGGCGCGUGCAGAUUCUGUAGAGAAAAACAGACUUUGAGAAUGCCUCGGCAGUGGAAAAGAAAGACUGACAGAUGUGUGCCUGCCAAUGUUUUUAAAAAGGCAUCUGAUGGAGUCACAAAGAAGGGCAAGUCAGUCAGAUCUGUUGCGAAGGCAGAUGGGAUCUGCCAUGUUACACUGAGCAGAUACUGCGAGACACCGCAGAAGCUGAGAGACCAGGGGUCCAUUGACCCUCUCAGUGAAGGUUACUAAAGCAGCAACAAAGUUUUCUCUGAGGUGCAGGAGGAAGUGUUGGCUGACUAUUUGUUUCAGGCGGCAGACCUGUAUUAUAGACGGACUCCAAGUCAGAAAGUUUGCAUAUCAACUGGUAGUACUAUAUAACGUCAAACACCACAAACAUGGGAUGAGAGGCUGAUGGCAGGGUCUGACUGGUUCACAUUCUUUAUGAAGCGAAACCCAGCCUUACCACAAAGGUUUAACCACAAAAAUGUGAAACGCUUCUUCAAGAGCCUUGGGCAGAUCAUUGAGAAAGACAACUUUGACGGCACUGACAUAUGGAAUGUAGACAAAACUGGUGUAACAGUCCAGUCACCAGACCGUGUUGAUGCAUGUCACAGAUUCAAGCAGUCCAGUCCAAACAAAGAGGGAGAAAAGUCUGAAGGCCUCUGAAGGACCGGUGGAAAAUGGCAGCUAGGGACACAGAGUCAGACCGCAAACAGAAACAUAAUCUGACAGUAACAUUCCCAGCUGUCAGGAUGUGUUCCCCCUGCUAUGAUGGAUAAAUCUGGGGACAUCAGGGUGAAAAUCACAGGACUUACCUUUUGUGGGGAAACAAGUCAGCAGUAUGAAUUUGACAGAUGUGUGAGCUUCCUUUCAUAUUGAACACAGGGGGAACAGUACCUGACAGUAACAUUCUCAGCUCCUCAGGAUGUGUUUUCCCUGCUAUGAUGGAGGUGGUU